rnacentral:tRNA from 1 species
GCGUUCGUGGUGUAACGGUACCAUACUCGGCGCAUAUUCGAGAGGUCCAGGUUCGAAUCCCGGUGGAGGCA